UUGCAGCUGUUGCGCCUCUGCUGAACGCCCAGCCAGAGCGGAUUCACUUUUCACACAAAUCAACCGGAGGGAUUGUUGCUGCCUGCAAUUAAUAACUCAGCGGAGUGAGUUGCUCAAACUAGAGGCGUCCCUCGUCUGGGUCUUUGAGGGCCGUCCGGAUUGAGUCCCAGCGCUCUGCUUUCCAAACAAAGAAGUGGGCACCAAAACGCAGGACGAGAUUUUUAAUCCCCACUUCCACCACGACCCCGGGUGCCAAAGAAGAGUUGCAAACUGUGAAGUAACUUCUAUGAAGAGAUGAAGUAAAGAACGGAAGGCAAAUGACUGUGGCAGUAAAGAAGUGUAUGUGAAAGGAAAAUAUCCCAAGGACUAAUCUGAUCGGGUCUUCCUUCAUACUUCUUAGGAAAGGCAGCAUUUUACUUCAUUCAUUAAUUG
rnacentral:sRNA from 1 species